rnacentral:rRNA from 1 species
UACGUAGGGUGCGAACGUUAAUCGGAAUUACUGGGCGUAAAGCGUGCGCAGGCGGCGCGUUAAGACAGGUGUGAAAGCCCCGAGCUUAACUUGGGAAUUGCGCUUGUGACUGGCGUGCUGGAGUGUGGCAGAGGGAGGUGGAAUUCCACGUGUAGCAGUGAAAUGCGUAGAGAUGUGGAGGAACACCGAUGGCGAAGGCAGCCUCCUGGGCCAGCACUGACGCUCAUGCACGAAAGCGUGGGGAGCAAACAGG